CCGGGCGGAGCGGCCGUCGGU
rnacentral:snRNA from 1 species